AAUUAAUUUAAUAUUUUUAUAGGUAAAUUUUUUAACUCUAAAUCUAAUUUUAAUUCUAACAUGUAUAUUCUAACUCUAGUAUAUAUCUUUUCCGUAGCUGUGCUCUGAUACCAUUUGUAGGCCAUUUGUAGGGGGGUGUGCGGAUUUAAUAGGUAUAAUAGAUUCAGUAGGUGUGCUACUGAGAGGCAUAACAACCCUCUGUUACCAGCAAGAACCAUACUACCAGUAUACACGGGAAGCAAGUGAUAAAUGACUUUUGUGGACUGGGACAGAUGGAUAUAAGAGGUGAACCUAGCAGUUCCUCUUCCACCUGGUAUAAUCCUCCAUGAUCUUAUCCACCUAAAAUAUUAGGGGCCUGAACCAGAACCGCAAGAAAAAAGCAUUGAAACUCUUUCUUGGUAAAAAUAAAAUAGAGAUUUUUGGUUGUGUUGAAACUAAAGUGAAGAAAACAAAAGUUAAGCAAGUGUUGAAGAAAGUGACUCCUGGUUGGCAUAUAGCUUGUAAUUACUCUCCUAAUGCAUUAAAUGGUACUCUAUAAUUUGGAUUCUAUUAAGAUCACUAUUCUAAAUGUGACUGGCCAGUUUAUCCAUUGUUUAGCUGAAGAUCCACGCUCCCAGAUCACUACUAACACUGAUUUAUGUUAGUAACGAGAUUAGCCAAAGGAAAGUAUUACGGACUAACCUUAUGAAUAUCUCUGUACAAUCUCAUCUGCCAUAGAUGAAAUAUGGUGAUUUUAAUAGUGCUUUGAAAUCAGA
rnacentral:lncRNA from 1 species